rnacentral:rRNA from 1 species
UUACCGCGGCUGCUGGCACGUAGUUAGCCAGUGCUUCCUCCAAAGGUACCGUCAGGUGGAUGUCAUUGAACUACAUCCACGGUUCUUCCCUAAGGACAGAGCUUUACAAUCCGAAGACCGUCUUCACUCACGCGGCGUUGCUCCAUCAGGCUUUCGCCCAUUGUGGAAGAUUCCCCACUGCUGCCUCCCGUAGGAGUCUGGACCGUGUCUCAGUUCCAGUGUGACUGAUCGUCCUCUCAGACCAGCUAUAGAUUGUUGCCCUGGUGAGCCAUUACCUCACCAGCUAGCUAAUCUACCGCGAACUCCUCCUCAAACGAUGGCAAAACCACCUUUUCUGAUUGUGUGAUGCCACACUCUCAGCUUAUCCGGGGUUAGCCCGACUUUCGCCAGGUUAUCCCAGAGUUGAGGACAGAUUAUUCACGUGUUACUCACCCGUCCGCCACUAUCUAGAUCUCGUCGUCAACCCGAAGGUAUCAGUCGAGGUAGACCGUUCGACUUGCAUGUGUUAAGCACGCCGCCAGCGUUCGUCCUGAGCCAUGAUCAAACUC